rnacentral:rRNA from 1 species
AUGAGCUGGCUAAAAUCUGAGGACUUUAUUCCUCUAGUUAGCAAGAUCUGGAAUCAGAAUGUGAAUGCUAUCGACCCUGUUGAUAUUCUAAAUAUCAAAUUAAAAAGAUUUAAGAAGUUUUUCAAAGGCUGGGGGUCGAGCAAGUUUGGUCAUGAAAAGAAAAGGAAGCAAGAGAUUAGAGAAGAACUUGCUCUCAUUGAAAAAGCAGAAGAGGAAGGGACUAUAGAUCAUGAGAUGUUUUGUAGGAAGACUGAUCUCCUUGUGGAGAUGAAUGAAAUUCUUGUCAAUGAGGAGCUUUUUCUGCUGCAGCAAUCGAAUGAGAGAUGGCUGCUUGGGGGGGAUCGUAACACCGCUUACUACAAAAAAAUUGCUAACGGUAAUAAGCGGAAAAACACGAUACAUUCUCUUCAUGUGGGGGAUGCAGUGAUUGAGGGGACUGAAAACCUGCUGGAGCAUGCCACUGAUUUCUACAAAAAUAUUUUUGGACCGCCCCAGGGAAACAUGUUCCAUCUUGACCCUGGGAUUUGGGGGGUAGAGGAAAAGCUCGAUGAGCUGGACAAUGAGAUUCUUAAUAGACCUUUCACAGAGGAAGAAGUGAAGAGAGCCUUAUUUUCCAUGAAAAGUAACAGGGCCCCUGGCCCGGACAAUAUCCCCGCUGAAUUUUACCAGCAGUGCUGGGAGAUAGUGAAGGAGGAUAUCAUGAGAUUGUUUGCUGCUUUCCACGCAGGAGAGCUGGACUUUUGUAGAUUGAAUUAUGGCAUUAUUACUUUGUUGCCUAAAAUCAAUGGGGCCAAUAAGAUCCAGCAGUUUAGGCCGAUUUGCUUGCUGAGAUGUCCCUACAAGUUAAUAACUAAAGUGCUUGAUAACAGGGUGGCCCCUUUUGCUGAUAAAUUGUUUAGUAAGCAUCAAAAUGCCUUUAUCAAGCAUAGAAACAUCAUGGAUGGGGUAUUGUCGUUGCACGAAAUUCUGCAUCAUACUUACAACAAGAAGAAGGUGGGUAUUGUCAUCAAGCUUGAUUUCGAGAAAGCUUAUGACAAAGUGAACUGGGACUUUCUUUUGGAAUGUCUUGAGAUGAGAGGGUUUGGUCCCACAUGGUGUGGGUCGAUUAAAAGUGUCCUGGUUGAUGGCAGAGUCAGUGUGAAGCUGAACAAUGUGAUGGGGCCAUAUUUCAAGAGCUUUAAAGGGGUUAGACAGGGGAUCCUAUGUCGCCCUUCCUUUUUAACAUUGCUGCUGAAAGCUUGUGUAAAAUGGUGCUGCAGGCGCAGAGAAAUAAUCUAG